CCGGCAGCACCCGAAGUGUCUGCGCCAACCUCUGGAGGCAGGGCCCUAAGGUGAAGCUGGUAACUGGGAUGAAGUCGUAACAAGGUAGCCGUAGGUGAACCUGCAGAAGGAUCA
rnacentral:rRNA from 1 species